rfam:Salmo salar isolate Sally breed double haploid chromosome ssa22, whole genome shotgun sequence.
UGCACGCAUGAUUGUAAGUCUCUUUGGAUAAAAAUGUCUGCUAAAUAGCACAUA